GCCUACGGGGGGCAGCAGUGGGGGAUAUUGCACAAUGGGGGCAACCCUGAUGCAGCGACGCCGCGUGAGCGAUGGAGUACUUCGGUAUGUAAAGCUCUGUCAGCAGGGAAGAGAAUGACGGUACCUGACCAAGAAGCCCCGGCUAAAUACGUGCCAGCAGCCGCGGUAAUACGUAUGGGGCAAGCGUUAUCCGGAUUUACUGGGUGUAAAGGGAGCGCAGGCGGUGCGGCAAGUCUGAUGUGAAAGCCCGGGGCUCAACCCCGGGACUGCAUUGGAAACUACCGAACUAGAGUGUCGGAGAGGUA
rnacentral:rRNA from 1 species